UCACACGAUCAGAAAAAUUUAACUGAAUUUGAACCCGCAUAGAAAAAUACAAUUUGCCUUAGUUUCCAAACAAUAAGCUGCAUGUAAUUGAUACGUUUAAAAUAUCACAAACUGUUGCAUUUAUGUCGAACAUUUUGACACCUCAAUCUCUAAACAAUAAAUAACGUUUUAUCAAAGCCAUUGCAAAUUGUUACAGUUUAGUAUUAUGUUCAUAUAUUGUUGAAUGAUAUGAAGUUCAAAGUCGUGAGAAACAGUAACAACAUAAAUCUACCUUCUGGGGAAUGGUUUUUGUUUCUUUUUGUGCAACACAAACACAUGAAUAUUUAACUAUAAACUACUUUUAAGCAACAGUUUGGCAAACAGUUGAAGCGAUACACGCUAGAAAAUUUACACCGUGAUAAAAUUCACAGUAUAUUUUAUAGAAGUUCCAUAUUUUGAAGAAAAAAAAAAUAGAUUUCUCCUCACCCUUGAUAGCAAUACUAAAACAAGCACUGCUAUUUUGUUUUUUUUUAAAGAUGUAAAAUCCUUAAAAAAAAACAUAAAAAUAACUACUGUGUAAAAAUUUUAUCAUACACUCUGUUAAAUUUUCCAUGCGUGUUUGUUUUCACGCUGUCUGAAAAAUAGAAAAAUAAAAAACGUCGCGAGUUUGUUAUGUCUGCUCCUGCUAGUUUAUAGUCGUUUUUUCAUUGAAAUGAAAAGCAUACCAUGUUAUUAGAACCGGAUCCGGAAGUGCUGAAAACAGCUGCCGUUUUUGCUUCGGUCGGAACGGUGAUAAGCGGAAGAACCGGGACGGAAUGAUGAUGAUGCCGCGCAGCUUGGAUUGCAACUUAUCAAACCAGUGUCCCGAGCUCCUACAUUUAAAUGCUAGUGAUUAAAUUAUGAAUAAUAAUAGUUUUAGUUCUACAAUUCUAGUUGAUCAUUUUCAAUAGCGAAUAAUGAAACAAGUAGUGCGUGUGGGCUGAACUCAUUUCAAACAAAAAAAUUGAUUAUAAAGUGAUAACAAGUUAUUCGUGAUCAAUCUUGAUUCCAUAGGUUUUAAUUAAAACUAAGUUUUUCCACACUUAUUUCCUUGUUUCAUUGCCUCUUCUAAGAAAUAUCCCCGUUCUUUUUUAAAUGGUAUAAAUGUAAUAGAACAGUUCAGCUUACGUU